UACGGGGGGAGCAAGCGUUGUUCGGAUUUACUGGGCGUAAAGGGCGCGUAGGCGGCCACGACAAGUCAGUUGUGAAAUCUCUGGGCUUAACUCAGAACGGUCAACUGAUACUGUCGGGCUAGAGUGCAGAAGGGGCAACUGGAAUUCUCGGUGUAGCGGUGAAAUUCGUAGAUAUUCGCAAGAACACCAGUGGCGAAGGCGGCUCACUGGCCCGAUACUGACGCUGAGGCACGAAAGCGUGGGGAGCAAACAGG
rnacentral:rRNA from 1 species